UCUCCUGAAGCUCAAUGGUAGAGCGUCCGACCAGUGUGCGGAAGAUCAUAGGUCAGUUGAUUCCAGUUGGGAGAA